rnacentral:rRNA from 1 species
GGGUCAGUAGGUUGGUCGUGCCACCGGUACGUACUGGUCUCACUGAUUCCUCCUUCCUGAAGAACCGUAAUGCCAUUAAUUUGGUGUUGCGGGGAAACAGGACUGUUACUUUGAAAAAAUUAGAGUGUUUAAAGCAAGCUAACGCUUGAAUACAUUAGCAUGGGAUAAUGAAAUAGGACGAUCGAUCCUAUUUUGUUGGCUUCUAGGAUUGACGUA